GACGAACGCUGGCGGCGUGCUUAACACAUGCAAGUCGAACGGAAAGGCCCUGCUUGCCGGGUACUCGAGUGGCGAACGGGUGAGUAACACGUGGGUGAUCUGCCCUGCACUUCGGGAUAAGCCUGGGAAACUGGGUCUAAUACCGGAUAGGAGCCAUUUUUAGUGUGAUGGUUGGAAAGUUUUUUCGGUGUAGGAUGAGCUCGCGGCCUAUCAGCUUGUUGGUGGGGUAAUGGCCUACCAAGGCGGCGACGGGUAGCCGGCCUGAGAGGGUGGACGGCCACAUUGGGACUGAGAUACGGCCCAGACUCCUACGGGAGGCAGCAGUGGGGAAUAUUGCACAAGGGGCGCAAGCCUGAUGCAGCGACGCCGCGUGGGGGAUGACGGCCUUCGGGUUGUAAACUCCUUUCGCUAGGGACGAAGCUUUUUGUGACGGUACCUGGAUAAGAAGCACCGGCUAACUACGUG
rnacentral:rRNA from 1 species